AUUUUAUUUAAGGGUUGGCAGUGAAGGUGAGGGUAUCUCUUGCCAGAGAUCCCUGUCUACCUGAAGUCUUUCAAAAGCGGAGAAUGUAUAUCAGCUUCUCUAGCAUUGCAAACACAUGUGCGCAGUAAUGAAGACUAGCAAUGUCUUUGAGGUUGAGACUCAGUUCUGAAUAGAGAGAUCUACAGUGUAUCAUCAACCUGUCCAGAUAUUAUGAUGUUAGCAUAUUUCAUUAACUCAGUUUGUGGUUUUUUUGUUUGUUUAUUUGUUGCCUGGUAUUGAGAUAAAUUGAAACAAAUUUGGGUACAAGAAAAGCAAUGUCAUUAGGCCUGGAACACUAAGUUGGAAAGAGAAAUGAGUAGAACCUCACCUUGCACUUUGUAAACCUGACACGUAGUUCUGUUAGACUAGGCAUUUAGUUGCCAAAAGUAUGGUGACUACGUCUCUGCAGCAGUGUAGCUCCAGUCCCAAAGAUUGGACAGACAAAAAUGGAGAUAAGGAUGUAGAGUAGAUACCAUUCAAGAUUGUGGCAGCUGAAUGGGUAUUUCUAAUUUAUGAUUUCAAAUGCAUGCCCUGAGUUCUUUACUGAAUCUUGCCGUUAAUCAUUUCUAAACAAUUGACAAGAAUACAUCUUUUUCCAGUCUAGUCUGCCACGGGCCUUAUGUGGCCUCUCUUCAGACAUUGGAUAUUAUGCUUUAAAAAAUUACAUUAUUUUUCUAAUGAAUUGUUCUGUAUUACCAUUUGUAAAUGAAAAAUAUAGAACUUGUAACAGCUAAUGUUUGGUACAGUGCAAAAGUAUAUAAGAAAAUUUUUCUUAUAUGAUUUCCUCCUUACAUAUAUACAUAUAUAUUUUCAAUUUCAUUCUUCUAACUUCCCGAUCUUUUUAACUUUUCAUUUUUUGUUCCUAUCACCCAAUCCAUUUUAGGUGUGUCCUAGGGUCUAGGACUACACUGUGUGGUAAAUAGAAAGUAGCUAUGUUACAUUGCUGUAGAGCUUUUACUGUCAGUGCAUCAGAUUGAAGCAUGUAUAUUGACAGAGUAUAGUGUUUUGCAUCAGAUCUACUCUCAAACAAGAGCAUUAUUUUCCUUCUCUUGCCUAUAUAAUGCACAGUGAAAAAAAUCUCUCCUAAUUCAAGCUACAAAGUAUUCUACCCUCUUCUCCUUGAAUAGUUUUUGGACCUCUU